rnacentral:rRNA from 1 species
GAUGAACGCUAGCGGCAGGCUUAACACAUGCAAGUCGAGGGGUAUAGUUCUUCGGAACUAGAGACCGGCGCACGGGUGCGUAACGCGUAUGCAAUCUGCCUUUCACAGAGGGAUAGCCCAGAGAAAUUUGGAUUAAUACCUCAUAGUAUUAUAGACUGGCAUCGGUUUAUAAUUAAAGUCACAACGGUGAAAGAUGAGCAUGCGUCCCAUUAGCUAGUUGGUAAGGUAACGGCUUACCAAGGCGACGAUGGGUAGGGGUCCUGAGAGGGAGAUCCCCCACACUGGUACUGAGACACGGACCAGACGCCUACGGGAGGCAGCAGUGAGGAAUAUUGGUCAAUGGACGCAAGUCUGAACCAGCCAUGCCGCGUGCAGGAUGACGGUCCUAUGGAUUGUAAACUGCUUUUGUACGAGAAGAAACACUCCAACGUGUUGGAGCUUGACGGUAUCGUAAGAAUAAGGAUCGGCUAACUCCGUGCCAGCCGCCGCGGUAAAAC